UCUCCGUUGGUGAACCAGCGGAGGGAUCAUUACCGAGUUUACAACUCUCAAACCCCUGUGAACAUACCAUUUGUUGCCUCGGCGGUGCCUGCUUCGGCAGCCCGCCAGAGGACCCAAACCCUUGAUUUUAUACAGUAUCUUCUGAGUAAAUGAUUAAAUAAAUCAAAACUUUCAACAACGGAUCUCUUGGUUCUG
rnacentral:misc_RNA from 1 species